rnacentral:rRNA from 1 species
GACGAACGCUGGCGGCGUGCUUAACACAUGCAAGUCGAACGGUAAGGCCCUUCGGGGUACACGAGUGGCGAACGGGUGAGUAACACGUGGGUGAUCUGCCCUGCACUUCGGGAUAAGCCUGGGAAACUGGGUCUAAUACCGGAUAGGACCACUGCCUGCAUGGGUGGUGGUGGAAAGCUUUUGCGGUGUGGGAUGGGCCCGCGGCCUAUCCGCUUGUUGGUGGGGUGAUGGCCUACCAAGACGACGACGGGUAGCCGGCCUGAGGGGGUGACCAGACACACUGGGACUGAGAUACGGCCCAGACUCCUACGGGAGGCAGCAGUGGGGAAUAUUGCACAAUGGGCGCAAGCCUUAUGCAGCGACGCCGCGUGAGGGAUGACGGCCUUCGGGUUGUAAACCUCUUUCAGCACCGACGAAGCGCAAGUGACGGUAGGUGCAGAAGAAGGACCGGCCAACUACGUGCCAGCCGCCGCCGUAA